rnacentral:rRNA from 1 species
UACGUAGGGUGCGAGCGUUAAUCGGAAUUACUGGGCGUAAAGCGUGCGCAGGCGGUUUUGUAAGUCUGUCGUGAAAGCCCCGGGCUCAACCUGGGAAUUGCGAUGGAGACUGCAAGGCUUGAAUCCGGCAGAGGGGGGUAGAAUUCCACGUGUAGCGGUGAAAUGCGUAGAGAUGUGGAGGAACACCGAUGGCGAGGGCAGCCCCUGGGUCAAGAUUGACGCUCAUGCACGAAAGCGUGGGGAGCAAACAGG